rnacentral:rRNA from 1 species
AGAGUUUGAUCCUGGCUCAGAACGAACGCUGGCGGCGUGCCUAACACAUGCAAGUCGAACGGAGUUAAGGCAGGGACAGAGGCAAGGGAAUAGGUUUUAGGGAUUGGUAGAAAGACAAAACCCCAAUCGCUAAUCCCCAGUCCCUGGUUUUUGUCCUUGCCUUAACUUAGUGGCGGACGGGUGAGUAACACGUAGGUAACCAACCCUCAAGCGGGGGACAACAUCGGGAAACCGGUGCUAAUACCGCAUAAGCUCACGGACUGGGAUGUUUGUGAGAAAAGGAGCAAUUCACUUGAGGAUGGGCCUGCGGCCUAUCAGGUAGUUGGUAAGGUAAUGGCUUACCAAGCCUAAGACGGGUAGCCGGACUGAGAGGUUGAACGGCCACACUGGAACUGAGACACGGUCCAGACUCCUACGGGAGGCAGCAGUGGGGAAUUUUGCGCAAUGGGGGAAACCCUGACGCAGCGACGCCGCGUGGAGGAUGAAGGUCUUCGGAUUGUAAACUCCUUUUGUCGGGGAAGAUAAUGACGGUACCCGAUGAAUAAGCCACGGCUAACUCUGUGCCAGCAGCCGCGGUAAGACAGAGGUGGCAAGCGUUGUUCGGAAUUACUGGGCUUAAAGGGCGCGUAGGCGGUGGAGUAAGUCUGAGGUGGAAGAUUAGGGCUUAACCCUAAAAUUGCCUUGGAACUGCAUCACUUGAGUAAGCGAGGGGAUGGC